AUGAAUUGCAUAACGUGGAACUGUCGCGGGCUUGGGAACCCGGAGACAGUUCGUGAACUUCACCAUUUGGUGAGGAUUGAAGCGCCCACCUUAGUCUUCUUAUCUGAGACGAAGAUUGAGGGAAAGAAGGUAACGGAUAUGAGAGCAAGACUUGGGUUUAAAGGAUGUAUUCCGGUCAGCAGUGAUGGACUGAGCGGAGGACUUGCCCUUUUCUGGUCUAGAGAAGUGGAUGUGAAACUCAACAAUUUGUCUAACCAGCAUAUAGAUGUAAUGGUGAGGGAUGUGGGCAGUGACCAGAAAGAGUGGCGUUUACAGGCUUUUAUGCCAAAGCAAGGAGGAGUGAGAGGAGAGAGAGUUGGAAACUAUUGA
rnacentral:rRNA from 1 species